CAGCCUUCUGAAAGGAAGAUUAAUACAAGAUGGCAUCAUGAGUCCGCAUGUUCACAUGAUUAAAGGUAUUCCGGUAGACGAUGGGGAUGCGUUCCAUUAGAUAGUAGGCGGGGUAACGGCCCACCUAGUCUUCGAUGGAUAGGGGUUCUGAGAGGAAGGUCCCCCACAUUGGAACUGAGACACGGUCCAAACUCCUACGGGAGGCAGCAGUGAGGAAUAUUGGUCAAUGGGCGAGAGCCUGAACCAGCCAAGUAGCGUGAAGGAUGACUGCCCUAUGGGUUGUAAACUUCUUUUAUAAAGGAAUAAAGUCGGGUAUGUAUACCCGUUUGCAUGUACUUUAUGAAUAAGGAUCGGCUAACUCCGUGCCAGCAGCCGCGGUAAUACGGAGGAUCCGAGCGUUAUCCGGAUUUAUUGGGUUUAAAGGGAGCGUAGAUGGAUGUUUAAGUCAGUUGUGAAAGUUUGCGGCUCAACCGUAAAAUUGCAGUUGAUACUGGAUAUCUUGAGUGCAGUUGAGGCAGGCGGAAUUCGUGGUGUAGCGGUGAAAUGCUUAGAUAUCACGAAGAACUCCGAUUGCGAAGGCAGCCUGCUAAGCUGCAACUGACAUUGAGGCUCGAAAGUGUGGGUAUCAAACAGGAUUAGAUACCCUGGUAGUCCACACGGU
rnacentral:rRNA from 1 species